rnacentral:lncRNA from 1 species
GUUUGAACCAUUCAGUGGCCAUAACCAACUGUGGAAUGCCAUAAAUGGAGCAAUAUAACGACUGGAGCUACCCAGCAUCCUUCAGAUUAACAGCUGGCUCUCCAAGGCUCCUUUGCAAAAGCAAUGCAGUCCUUCACACAGCAGCCUCUUUGGGCUAAGAUGAGCAAAGAUCUUUGAUGCUUCCAUUUUCUCACUCCAUGAAUGGAUCAAAGAGCCCAAAAUCCACAGGGCUUUGAAGCAGGAGGAGCACUGGAAGAGAGAGAUUACAGUCAGCUAGAACAGAAAUGCAUUAGUCUGGAGCUUGAUUGGUCUGGUUUUGUAGUUGACAUUUGUGAGCAUGAAAGCAUUAGGGAGAAGUAACAAUGCCAUUUUUAGAUAAAAUAAUAGUAGAUUAAAAAAAAGUUAAUUUUGUUCUAAAUUCCACAGUAAUAUUAUGUCUUGCAGUUAAUUUCUAACUAUCCUGAAGUGAUAACCAGUUUUCUUUUGUGUAAAAGGAGCCAUAGUCUAAGGAGACUCUUGAGUGGCAGCCAAGAUAUGAAAAAUGUUAUUUGAAUUAGGAAUUCUUAUCCAUGUUUAUAGUACUUUCCAGAGGCUUUCUCUCAUUUUUAGGCCUUUUUCACAAAAGCAUAUGCAAUAAAAAUGUUACUGCUGCCAGCUUGUAUGCCUGAAAGGUCAAUUCUUCUUUUUGUUCUAACUUUAUCAGUUUCUUUAAUAAAAGAUAUUAACUCUCUUCACAAACCUGUCUCACGGAGAGAAGAAAAAUAUCCCCAUCUCCAAAGAAAAUAUCACUUCUAUUUAAUGAUUAAAACAGAUCAGUGUGAGAGAAGACAUAAGGCAGCUACCAGAAAAUUCUGGCCCAAGAAGCCAAUGACCUUGAGUGGACACCAAAACCACACCUUACACAAAUUAUCCCUUCAGUGUUUCCAGAGUCUGUCUUUGGCAGCACACAAAUUUAUUCACCCACACUGAAUAUGUCUCCAGCUCAAGUUUUAAGGACAGAUCAGGAACUUCAAAAGCCAAGAAUGCUGUCCAGCUGACAAUAUGCAGACUCUAAGGCAAAGGCUCCAAAAAAUUGGUGCCUUUAUGUUCCUACCUGUUACAUUAAACACCAGCACACCU